AAGUCGACGAGUUCUCGUUGAUGAUCGGUGCUUGCACCGAGAUUCAACAUGGAACGAGUGGCGGACGGGUGAGUAACACGUGGGUAACCUGCCCUUAAGUGGGGGAUAACAUUUGGAAACAGAUGCUAAUACCGCAUAGAUCCAAGAACCGCAUGGUUCUUGGCUGAAAGAUGGCGUAAGCUAUCGCUUUUGGAUGGACCCGCGGCGUAUUAGCUAGUUGGUGAGGUAACGGCUCACCAAGGCGAUGAUACGUAGCCGAACUGAGAGGUUGAUCGGCCACAUUGGGACUGAGACACGGCCCAAACUCCUACGGGAGGCAGCAGUAGGGAAUCUUCCACAAUGGACGCAAGUCUGAUGGAGCAACGCCGCGUGAGUGAAGAAGGCUUUCGGGUCGUAAAACUCUGUUGUUGGAGAAGAAUGGUCGGCAGAGUAACUGUUGUCGGCGUGACGGUAUCCAACCAGAAAGCCACGGCUAACUACGUGCCAGCAGCCGCGGUAAUACGUAGGUGACAAGCGUUAUCCGGAUUUAUUGGGCGUAAAGCGAGCGCAGGCGGUUUUUUAAGUCUGAUGUGAAAGCCCUCGGCUUAACCGAGGAAGCGCAUCGGAAACUGGGAAACUUGAGUGCAGAAGAGGACAGUGGAACUCCAUGUGUAGCGGUGAAAUGCGUAGAUAUAUGGAAGAACACCAGUGGCGAAGGCGGCUGUCUGGUCUGUAACUGACGCUGAGGCUCGAAAGCAUGGGUAGCGAACAGGAUUAGAUACCCUGGUAGUCCAUGCCGUAAACGAUGAAUGCUAGGUGUUGGAGGGUUUCCGCCCUUCAGUGCCGCAGCUAACGCAUUAAGCA
rnacentral:rRNA from 1 species